rnacentral:lncRNA from 1 species
CAGCAUUGUUAUCUUAAGACACUCAUCUGGUGUCUGAGUCUGCAGGUGACACUGCUUAGGUACGGAGCGCGGAGUCGGAGCGGGGACGCGCCGGGCUGCAGCUCUGGGAUGCAAUCCGCCUGCCUCGCAAGCUGCUCGCCGCUGCGCUGGCAGCGCUUACGCUGAGCUCGGAGGAUCCCAUUAGGACUUGCCCGGGGAUGUGCACCUGCCGUGCGCUCCGAGGUCAGUGGCAGGUCUGCAGGCAGCCGAGGGAGCGGUGAAGCCGGAAGACCUGUCUCUGCCCAUGUGCAAGGCAGUGAUUUCGGGUGAGAGAGCGGGUGGGUGAGUCUCUUUAGAGUUGGAAAGAAGGCAAAAUCUUGGGUUUCUCCUCGGCGGAGGGACAGGGGACUCCCCCAGUUGGGUCUUGCACUUCCCUUACCUCUCCCACCCCGCGUGCGCCCCGGCCCAGUGCCGAAGCCCCACUUCAAAGAUGCUCUGGGAGACCGGGAUCCUGG